CAGUCCGGCCUUGGCGGUGCCGUUCGGCUCGAAAUAGGUGCCGAACAAGGCAUACUUGCUGUUGAAGAGAUUGUUGAUAUUGGCGAACAGCGUGACGUUCUUCGACACCUGAUAGGACGUAUGCAGGUUGACGACGGCGUAGCCCGGCAGUUUCGGAUUCUGGUUGGCGUCGUCGCCGACGAAAUACCGCUGUCCGACCGCAACCAGAUCGGCGCCGAUCUUCCAUUCCGGCGUCACCAUGUAGUCUACGCCCGCCUUGAACUGAUGCUGCGGAAUGCCGGGAAUGUGGUUGCCCGGCACCACAUGG
rnacentral:misc_RNA from 1 species